UUUCCUCUAAAACAAAAUCGAGCGAGAAAGUCUGAAAAUCUACAGUUUUGUGUGCUGGUGAUGCGUUAACAGAUUGAUUAUGACAUCUACCCACACUCCAGGGGAGGAAAUAUCCUCUAUUGUGGAAGGAUAUAGGAGUCCUUAUGAAAGCCAGACAGAAUGGGAACUCAGACGAAACUUCAUGAUAGCCAACUACAGAAGAGUGAACAUGGAAUCGCUGGUAUGCCUUGCUAACUGUUACUUGAAUGUGGAGAUGUAUGGAUGUAGGUAUCCUGCAUUGGUUAUGGGACAGAUCCAAGAAAUGAGCAAUAGUCUAAACAUCCAGAGGUCAAAUCCAUGUACCAGUAAAGCAGAAAAUCUGCCAAAGAGAAUGAAGGGGAUGGAGACUGUUCAGUUUGUGAGGCAAUCAGACACAGAAACAGCGAAAGAGCAGAAGGAAACAGCCAUUUCUACAAAUUUGUCCAGUUCUGAUAAACCAUCUUCUGUCUCUAAAAAUUUACAAGAAGCAGCUAAGAAGACUACAGCAAAACCAAACUUUCACUUUGUAAAAGCCAGUUCAGAUUUCCAUAGUACAGAUGUUGCCACUGAGAGUAUCAAACAGAAAUUAAUGAAAGAAGAAUUCAUGGCAAGUUGUCAACCACAGCCUGUUGUUGAUCAUUUGUCAGCUCAGAAUCCGAAGCAGAAAUCUGGAUUAGGUUUUGUUAAAAAAGAAAAAAUAACAGAUGCUGUUGGUCCUGAAAUGCCAACAAACUCAUUCAUAAGUGAAAUAGACAAUCAGUUUCAUGCAUUUUCUAAUCACUAUGCCACAUAUAAAAAGAAACAUCCACAGAGAUCUCCCAUAGACAUUUUUCAUAUGGUUGCCAUGAAAACCAGAAUGAAGAUAGAUACUCAGUUCAAUGAUGUUUCAGUAAAAGGGCAGAAUAAAUUCACUUGCACUGUUGUCAUUGACAAUGUGGACAUAGCAACAGCUGAGGAUUCAAAUAAGAAAGGGGCUAAAAAUAAAGCUUUUGAAAUUGGACAGGAGAAAUUGUCACGAAAAUAUAUCAAAGUAGUUAGAGUCAAUCCCGAAAAGCAGGAACUUCAGGCCUUUGAUGAGGAACCGGAAAAUGAUCCUGGCUUCAUAAAAACAGAAGUUGAAGAGAUACCAGCCCCCAAAGCCAAGCCUGUCAAAAGGAAGGAAAGUGAGUUACAUGGUGAUCUAACUAGAUUUAUCAUCUUUGAGACAGCAAAUACAACUCAGAAUGCCAUAUCUGUUCUCAAAACUAGUGCUGAUAUGAAUCACGCUGAAUUGGAGUACGAUUUUCAUCCUGAUAUGUCAGGUACACGAUGCAGAGUUCUUUUAGAUGGGCACAAUCUGGUUGAGUAUAUGGGGACAACAAAAGCCUCAUCAAAGUCAGUGGCAUCAGAAAAGGCCCUUGAGAGAUUGAAACAGAUCUGCUGGACAAUCAAGAUCAAACAGGCUGUUGAUGCCAGUGAGUCUGAAGUGAGCAGAGAUAAAGUCAUGGGGGAAAUUCAAAAACAGGUUAAAACAAUAUCUGAUGAUAAUAUAGGCAGCCGACUGUUAAAAAAAAUGGGAUGGACAGGGGGAGGAGUAGGAGCAAAAGGAAACAAAGGAUUGGCUGAACCAGUUGCCGUGACGAUGACCAAUCACAUUCUUUUGAACAGAGAAGGACUUGGGUUACAUGGUGACCAUGCUAAGGCUAUGGUGGACUUCAAAAAGAAAAUCACAGAAGUGAUUGACAACUAUGCAAAGUCUGAAAAACAAGAUGAUCUGGCCUUUUCUCCAGAAUUUAGCAAAGAGGAGAGGGCCUUCAUUCAUCAGUAUUCUCAAAAACUUGGACUGAAAACCCAAAGUAGGGGCACGGGAAGUGAGCGGUACCUGAUCAUAAGUCGUAAGAGGAGUGUGUCCCAGCUGUUUGAUCAUAUCAUGGAAGAAGGAGGUGCCACACACAAGUACGAACUCAUUCCACCAUUGUACGACUCAUAAAGAGGAUCAGCCACGCUCAGUUACACCUUACAAACUGUUUCAGGAUAUAUCUUACUAGUACUUUUAUGUUAUGUGUGCAAGAAUUUGUUCAUUUUUAGAUUUGAUGAUUUAGAUUGUACUUACUUUUCUCUGAACUUACAUUUGUAAAAUGUGCCUUUGUCAUGUAGUUGGACAUAUUUUUGUUUUUUUUCACAUAAUUUUUUGUGAGAGAAGGAAAUGCAUGUACAUAUAUCUAUCUGUCUAUAAACUGUUAUGGAUAUCACAGGGUUUCCAAACUUUGAAUUUUUGUUUUGACAUGAGAAAUUUUUAGUGUUUUAUUUGAAUCACUAUGUAUUCUAGAGAGUAAUUUUUAUAUGAUAAUACUAUUUACUUUAAAGUUUCCUAUGCAGUCCAAUAAUCAUAACACCAAAGUCAAUACAAAAUGAGGGAAGGAAAUGAGUUGUAUGCAUGCCAUUGAAUUAAUUGGCAAUCGAAGGCUCAUACAUUUCAUUCAAGUCUUAUCUAUCUUUAACUUUCCCAACACACAUGCAGUUAGUAUUUUUUUUGUGCAAUGAAUUUUGAAAAACAGUUAUUUGCAUAUCUGCUCUCUCAUAUUCAUCUAUGCAUCUUUUAUAAGUUCAGAGGUUUUUGUUGAAAUAUUGAAGAACUGUUCACGAUAAAGCUAUUGGAUUGCAAAUUAAGUUGUACAUUUUUUUGAAAUAUUUUACUUAUAGCUACCUAUUGGUAGAGAGUAUAUUGUCCAUCUAAAUCAUGCAACAGUACAACACAAUCUGGUAGCUAACAUUUCCAGUCAGUCUAUGCAUGUUAUUUUUUCACCUAUGUUAUGGAUGACUCUAAAUGAUUUCUUUGUUUUAUAAUAUUUGAAAAUCCGUAGUUUGUCAUCUUUGAGAAACUCGGCGCAGAAAGCGGUGGAUAAUUUCCAUGUACAAGUAGUUCUGUUUUAAAAUAGAGAACUUUGAUAUGUUUGUAAGAAAUACAUUUAUAUUUAGUGAG
rnacentral:misc_RNA from 1 species